AAGCUGCGGUGAUGAAUUAUGAAAUAAAUUCACAUGUCAGACUUCAGAGGUUAUUUAUAAUCUAUGAGAAGACUAUUUCAUUAUUCCUGAGCACUAU